rnacentral:rRNA from 1 species
UACGUAGGGGGCAAGCGUUGUCCGGAAUCAUUGGGCGUAAAGCGUGCGUAGGUGGUUCGUUGUGUCUGUGGUGAAAGCCCCGGGCUUAACCUGGGAAUGGCCAUGGAAACUGGCGAGCUGGAGUCUGGCAGAGGGGGGUGGAAUUCCGCGUGUAGCAGUGAAAUGCGUAGAGAUGCGGAGGAACACCGAUGGCGAAGGCAGCCCCCUGGGCUAAGACUGACGCUGAGGCACGAAAGCGUGGGGAGCAAACAGG